GGGAAAAUAACAAAAGGGGCCUAAAUGGUGUUACUGAGCAAGCGUCAGGCUUCUCUUCUCCUCGAGCGUUAGAACAGAUAGUAAAACACAGGCGCCAAGUUCAGGAGCCCUGAACCAAGAUGUCCUGGAAUGGAAUCCUGGCUCACCACUCACUGUUGUACGGCCUGGGGUUGGUGUUGUGAAAGGGCCCAUGUAGUUGCUGAAGACAUUGGACAUCCUAUGGAGGGCUCAUCUUACCCUACAGGGCCUGAUGUUCCUGCGGUCUGCAGGGGUGACCCUGACAUUGAUGUAUCUGCACCGAGUUCACCCAUAGAGGCUGCUGGAGCUCGCUACGAAGAGAGGCUAGCACAUGCUCUUGGACUGGGUGGCAGGACUCUCUCCUUCCUCACUCAGAUCUUCAAAGAAGAAAGAGGACAAUGGAAGAAAGGGAGAGAAUCCCUGCUCCCCCAGCACACAGGUGGAGGGAACACACGGAAGAUUCAGAUACUGUCCUCCGAUGAUUGUAAUUCCUGGUCCGUACAGCAGUGCAAUGGAUUGUGACUGUGGCCAUCAGUUGCCUCUACCUGGCUUGGUAGAGGGGGUGGCCCUAUAACACCUAGUGCCUACUCCUAUCUCAUCCCAUGAGAGGCCUGUGGCAUGGCUGGAUGACACAGGUUUGGAGUCUGAAUGACCCAGGCUUGAGUCUUGGCCCUAACCCCUAAUAUCCAUGUGACACUGGGCAAGUUACUUAAUUGCUCUGAGUCUUAAUUUUCUUACAUGCAAAAUGGAUAUUAAUAAUAUCCACUUUGUAAGUUUGUGUGAUGUGAAAUGACAUAUAAUAAGGCAGACGCAUAAUAUUCAACAAGUGGAAGUUGUUGAUAAGAUACCUGGGGUAGGCCAUGUGGCCUAGUACUGGGGAGCCAGAUCCCACUUGAUCAACUGAGGCUUGAAUCCCAGCCCCAGUGGCUUACAAAACACACCAGAUAGUGCUCGCUUCAGCAGCACGUAUACUAAAA